rnacentral:lncRNA from 1 species
CGCCUUCGAACUCUCUGCUCUUCUCAAACACUCUCAAGCCCUUGAAACCCUAAUCAUCUCCCUCAUCUUCUCCGAUCAAUCUUCACCGGAGUCCAUGGCUUCUCAUGGCAUGGACAACUUGUGCUCGCCUGCUUUAACCUCCCAACCCUCGUUGUUCAAGGUUUUGAGGUCUGACCUCAAUGAUUCCUGUUUAGAUCCUCCACCGAUCUGUGCUCCUAUGGCCUCUCCGGCUCUGUUCUGACGUGUUUAAGCCUCAAAACUGUUUGAGACCAGGUCUUUUCCAAGCCUUCUCAUUUCUAGGGUUUCGGUGAAACCUUAAAGUCAUUUCGAGGCUCCUUCUUCUCUUAUUUGCUUAGAUUUGUGAUGAAUCUGUGUCGUAUUCAAUGUUUUGAAGCUUUUCCCCAAUUUUCUUUUUCAAAUUUAGCCUGUUUCAAUUUAGGGUUUCUGAAAAUCUUAAAAUUACUUUU